rnacentral:rRNA from 1 species
CAGCAACCGCGGGAAUACGAAGGGUGCAAGCGUUACUCGGAAUUACUGGGCGUAAAGCGUGCGUAGGUGGUGGUUUAAGUCCGUUGUGAAAGCCCUGGGCUCAACCUGGGAAUUGCAGUGGAUACUGGGUCACUAGAGUGUGGUAGAGGAUAGUGGAAUUUCCGGUGUAGCAGUGAAAUGCGUAGAGAUCUGGAGGAAUACCGAUGGCGAAGGCAGCCAUCUGGCCUAAUACUGACGCUGAGGUACGAAAGCAUGGGGAGCAAACAGGAUUAGAUACCCCUGUAGUCCCUGUCUCUUAUAC